rnacentral:lncRNA from 1 species
CACAAUCUGUAUUUUUUCAUUUUCAGCUUGAUUUUUUUUUACUAGAAUGAAGAAUCACAGAGGGAAGAAUAGCAUAUUCUUGUAUAAAAAACUUCUUAAGACAUCGUUUAAUGAGCAACAAAUGUACAACAAUUGAGAAACACGUUAAAAUUUUGUUUAAAAUUUUUUAUCUCGAAAAAUGUUUUCUCCUAAAGCCCCAUCUCUUGUAUACGUGAACCCCAAUAGUCUUGACUCCAAAACAGAAUUAAAAAGACCAGUGCAGCACUAUAAUUUUUUUUCCCUCUACUUGAAAUUUAUGUAGACCAGAAGGAGCCUCUGCAAUUUGUCCAGUCCAGUGCCCUGGUCAAAGCCAGAACAACUUCCAUGUGAGAGCAGAUCUGGGAGCAGAUUGCUCAAGACCUUGUCUUGCCAGCUUCUGAAAUCUCAAAAGAUGGAUGCAGAAUAUGCAUUCCCCAUGGCAAUGAAGCCCCUCCAUUCUCUCAGGGCUGCACCACUUUGCUGUUGAAGUCCUUAAGUCCGACAUUUUCUCAGAAGUUCAAUGGGGCAAGAAGGACCUUCAUCUAGCAGAUUUGUUAUGCUGAAGUGAAGUUAGAACUGGUAUUGUCACAGGAAAGGGAACCUUGUGAAACGCAUUUGAACUAAGGAUUCUGUCACUAUAAAUACUUACAAGAUUCUGGAUUGGUUCCUUUCUGAGUUGCUGUUGGUCCCAUGAGCAGGUGAGAUGUUUAAAGACAGUCAGUCUGGUACCAGGAUAUCGUUCAGGAGAACACAGCUCAGUGCAGUAUUCCUGCAGGCAAGUCAACAGAUCUCAUCCUUGACGACAAGGUAUAGCACCAAGCUGUGUAAUACGUGCAACAUUUUAAACUUUUUGGGCAUUUAAAACAUGUUAAAUAUUUUAAACCCAAACCAUUCUAUGAUUUGUAAUGCUCGUACAGGAUAAGUGCCUGACUUGUGCUUGUCUGUGCAGGUAUCACUUUGAGGGAAACAUGAAGGAGAGCUCUUUUAAAUUACAGUCCAACUGCCCUGAAGCCAUGGGUUUCAUCUCUGACUUGAGCUUCCUUUAUGAGCAGCACAGGCAGCUCGAAACACCUGUCCUCAUCUAUCACUCAGUUGAUCAAAAGGUCUCAAGCUGAUUUAUUUUACUUUAUUAAUUCAGUUGUCAAUCACUCCUUUCCCUUCUGUGACACAUUUAAAUACGUUUUUGUGCUGUUGUUUUGUUUUUCUUGCAAUUUACUAGCCGUUUUACUGCAGGUUUCAGUCCAGAUUAGCCGUGGUGCCUUUUUUCCAUUGCUCCUUCCGUUGUUUUUUUCCCUUGCAGGCAUAGUUUCUACUCGUGCUAAGACUGAAGCGUGCUGGUUCAGCCCAUAGUUCCAUGCCCUCGUUGCGCGGUGCUGAGCAGCGGAGGCCCCCUGGCGCCCGCUUUGCCAGCAGCUGGAAGCGGCGGGAGCAGCACGCUGCGUUUCCCGUUUCUCUCUGGGUAAAAGAGGAGUAAAAUGCUCCUUCCCCCAGUGCACGUUGUGGUCUGGGUCCCGAAUGAGUAACCUUUCCAGUUUUAUAGCCUUAGUUGGCUCUGAGUGUUUUUCUUCAGUGCUCUCCUACUCUUUUUUCUUGCCAUUUUCCUCACAUCAGAAUGGCUUUACUGUAGCUGUCAAAUGAGAGAUGCAGGACCACACCUGAAGCUCCCAA